GCCGGAGGGAAACCGAGUCUUAACCGGGCGUUAAGUUGCAGGGUAUAGACCCGAAACCCGGUGAUCUAGCCAUGGGCAGGUUGAAGGUUGGGUAACACUAACUGGAGGACCGAACCGACUAAUGUUGAAAAAUUAGCGGAUGACCUGUGGCUGGGGGUGAAAGGCCAAUCAAACCGGGAGAUAGCUGGUUCUCCCCGAAAGCUAUUUAGGUAGCGCCUCGUGAAUUCAUCUCCGGGGGUAGAGCACUGUUUCGGCUAGGGGGCCAUCCCGGCUUACCAACCCGAUGCAAACUGCGAAUACCGGAGAAUGUUAUCACGGGAGACACACGGCGGGUGCUAACGUCCGUCGUGAAGAGGGAAACAACCCAGACCGCCAGCUAAGGUCCCAAAGUCAUGGUUAAGUGGGAAACGAUGUGGGAAGGCCCAGACAGCCAGGAUGUUGGCUUAGAAGCAGCCAUCAUUUAAAGAAAGCGUAAUAGCUCACUGGUCGAGUCGGCCUGCGCGGAAGAUGUAACGGGGCUAAACCAUGCACCGAAGCUGCGGCAGCGACACUGUGUGUUGUUGGGUAGGGGAGCGUUCUGUAAGCCUGUGAAGGUGUGUCGUGAGGCAUGCUGGAGGUAUCAGAAGUGCGAAUGCUGACAUAAGUAACGAUAAAGCGGGUGAAAAGCCCGCUCGCCGGAAGACCAAGGGUUCCUGUCCAACGUUAAUCGGGGCAGGGUGAGUCGACCCCUAAGGCGAGGCCGAAAGGCGUAGUCGAUGGGAAACGGGUUAAUAUUCCCGUACUUGGUGUUACUGCGAAGGGGGGACGGAGAAGGCUAUGUUGGCCGGGCGACGGUUGUCCCGGUUUAAGCGUGUAGGUGUGUGUUCCAGGUAAAUCCGGUUCACUUUAACACUGAGGCGUGAUGACGAGGCACUACGGUGCUGAAGCAACAAAUGCCCUGCUUCCAGGAAAAGCCUCUAAGCAUCAGGUAACAUCAAAUCGUACCCCAAACCGACACAGGUGGUCAGGUAGAGAAUACCAAGGCGCUUGAGAGAACUCGGGUGAAGGAACUAGGCAAAAUGGUGCCGUAACUUCGGGAGAAGGCACGCUGACACGUAGGUGAAGUGAUUUACUCAUGGAGCUGAAGUCAGUCGAAGAUACCAGCUGGCUGCAACUGUUUAUUAAAAACACAGCACUGUGCAAACACGAAAGUGGACGUAUACGGUGUGACGCCUGCCCGGUGCCGGAAGGUUAAUUGAUGGGGUCAGCGCAAGCGAAGCUCCUGAUCGAAGCCCCGGUAAACGGCGGCCGUAACUAUAACGGUCCUAAGGUAGCGAAAUUCCUUGUCGGGUAAGUUCCGACCUGCACGAAUGGCGUAAUGAUGGCCAGGCUGUCUCCACCCGAGACUCAGUGAAAUUGAACUCGCUGUGAAGAUGCAGUGUACCCGCGGCAAGACGGAAAGACCCCGUGAACCUUUACUAUAGCUUGACACUGAACAUUGAGCCUUGAUGUGUAGGAUAGGUGGGAGGCUUUGAAGUGUGGACGCCAGUCUGCAUGGAGCCGACCUUGAAAUACCACCCUUUAAUGUUUGAUGUUCUAACGUGGACCCGUGAUCCGGGUUGCGGACAGUGUCUGGUGGGUAGUUUGACUGGGGCGGUCUCCUCCUAAAGAGUAACGGAGGAGCACGAAGGUUGGCUAAUCCUGGUCGGACAUCAGGAGGUUAGUGCAAUGGCAUAAGCCAGCUUGACUGCGAGCGUGACGGCGCGAGCAGGUGCGAAAGCAGGUCAUAGUGAUCCGGUGGUUCUGAAUGGAAGGGCCAUCGCUCAACGGAUAAAAGGUACUCCGGGGAUAACAGGCUGAUACCGCCCAAGAGUUCAUAUCGACGGCGGUGUUUGGCACCUCGAUGUCGGCUCAUCACAUCCUGGGGCUGAAGUAGGUCCCAAGGGUAUGGCUGUUCGCCAUUUAAAGUGGUACGCGAGCUGGGUUUAGAACGUCGUGAGACAGUUCGGUCCCUAUCUGCCGUGGGCGCUGGAGAACUGAGGGGGGCUGCUCCUAGUACGAGAGGACCGGAGUGGACGCAUCACUGGUGUUCGGGUUGUCAUGCCAAUGGCACUGCCCGGUAGCUAAAUGCGGAAGAGAUAAGUGCUGAAAGCA
rnacentral:rRNA from 1 species